UGCCUCUAUUCUUUAUGUAAAUCCAUUUGCGACUUCAGUAUCACUGUUCUUGCAGGUAUUUGAAGCAGAGUCACUCUAGAAGAGCAGCUCUUAAAUCACACAGAGCUAAGGAUGGUUUCCCAUUUGCUUUUUUUUUGUUUGUUUGUUUGUUUGUUUGGACAGCAAGAUGACUGUUGUAACCACUCUGUAAAGACUCCACUCAGGCUUUCUGCCCCACCAUAAACAUCUUGAAUUAGAAACCCCACAUUGCUCAAAUCUGAUACGUGUCCCUCUUCUCUUCUUGUUGGAAGCCAUUAUCAGCAGAUGGACAUGCUGUUUUUGAAGUCCUUGGCUUUGAGCUGCAACGGACAGGGCUUUCGGAAGAUCAAAGUGGUAGAAACACCAGCAAAAAAUGGUUCUCUUCGUAGGAGGUGUGGAUCAUGAAGAAAUUUCAUG
rnacentral:lncRNA from 1 species